GGAAGAAUAUAGUUCACCUCGAACAUAUCAGUUGAAACUUGAAACAAAGAAAAAGAAGAAGGGAGAAACGGCAGAUGUGGUGAUCUAGCCAUAUGAAAAAAAAUAUUAGAGAGAAUAAGCAAGGGAUUAAUUGGAUUUAUUGGUAGUUCAAUUUCUUCUUGAGAAGAUUGGACACUGGAUGCGCGAGAUCAAUACUAAGGAAAGUUUUCUUUUAGACUCUUUAUUAAAUCAGAUUUAGGAACAAUUUUAACUUGAAAAUCUAAAGAUCUGACAUACAAUUAGAAUUCAUGGUUUUUCCGUGUAGAAAUAAAUUUAAUAAAACCUAGUUUCAGUCAAGUAUGAGGUUGAUUUAUAUCGUCCGAUUUUUUUGAUCUACUUGGUUCUUGGUGAUUGUGUAUGGAUUUUUAACAGUGAUUCCUAAUACCUUGAUCAUGCAUUUUAUCGUACUAUUUGGGGUCAAUAGAAAGACAAACACUAUCUCGAACUAUUUCAAAUCACUUAGAUUCAUAAGUUGAGGCCUUGAUUGGAUUGUUAUAUUUAUUGAUAUUAUACAAUCAAGAAAUGGUUAUGAAAAUAAUUAUAUGCACUGAUCUAAUGGUUGAUUAAAUUAGAUUGGGUCACUGUUAUCGGUAUUCGAUAAAUGUUGUUGUGGUCGUAUAUUUUUCUUUAUGUGAACUGGGAGAAUGUCAUGUAUUACCUUUCCCGUGAAAUGUGGAAUUUCGAUCUCGGCAGCGCCCUUGAUGAAAAAUGACGAUUUUGCAUAUAUCAUUUUUAGCUUGCUCUACGAUUUGAUUGAUAAAUAAAUAUGUCUAGCUAACCAUGGGUUCAAAUAGGUCCUCUUUGUCAUUGUGUAAUAUCACAGGUGAGAAAGUUAGUGGAGUACCAGUGUGUGUUCCCUAAAUGGGAACUCUAUUGAGAUGUAUAUAUGAAGUGUUUAGUACAUUUCUGUGGAUUGGUUGGAAUGUUUUUCACAAUCUCUGCCUAACAGAGAUGUAUGUAUAUAUAUAUGAUGCAUUAUGUUUUUUUUUUUUUGUUGCGUAAAGUCGUUGUGUUCUUUGGAUGCUUGUAUUUAUGUUUUUCUAAAUAAUAUGCAAAUUUGAAUCUAUGAUGUUUAUAGAUGGAUGUUUUAGUAACUGUCGACGUUCAAAUUUUUGCACUUCUUUGUCUGUUGACAUAGUUGUAAUACAUAUCCAUUGAUCUAUAUAUAUUUGGUCCUUGUUCUUAAGCAUUCCCGUAUGUAGUGCACAUGUGUAAUUAUUUAGACUUAGUAGCUAGUUUAACUGAACUGUUAAAUGCUUAAACUCUUUCUCGUAAGUAAAUUUCUAAAAUAUGGUAGUGUAUAGUCUAUAUUCACUGUGUUUUAUUCUUAGUUUGGCCACUGUCCUUGAUGGUUAAAUUGUAUUUCUAACUCUCGUUUAAUGAGGAGACUAUGGAGAACUUGCUCAGAUUUUAACUCAUGUUGCUCAUUUUACAGGUUUUUCUUUAGAGAAUCAAAGAUAAGGAAUGGAUAAGGAGAUAAUUACCUGAGAUGUUUUCUGGGAGAUUGAGCUUUCGCGGAUGUGUUCCGGAUAUUGGACUUCUGUGGAUGUGUUCCGAAGAUAUGGACUUUCGCGGAUGUGUACCAGUGUACUGAUGGGAUCCUUGGUUUACUACUGCCAAGUGGGUAGGUAAAGUCUCUUAUUGAACUAGGACAUGCGACACCAAGGAUCAGAAAGACCAAGACAUGGUAAAAUUGUUUGACUCGAUUCACUACUGAGAGGUGUUUCAGAUUUUCAGGAUAAGGAACAUGGGGUGUUAUGUUUGUGUACUUAAUUCUUUGAGUUAGCUGAUUAAUCAUAUAAUUGUCGAUGAUUAAUAAUUUUAUGUGCAAUGAGGUUAUCAUCAACUUAAUAGAUUUUGACUUGAUAAAUUUGGAAUUUAUAGUAUUGUUGACUAGGUUGACACAUAUUUUCAUA